AAGUUAAAGUUUCAGUUUCAUAGUUUUAUAAGAUUUAGUAUUUGUAAGUUGUUAUUUAUUAAAAUAUGAAAUGGAGUUAUCAUACGAUCUGAAAUUAAACGCUGUUUCAGGAUGGACCGGUCGUUAUCUUCAUUACCAUGGAAAGCAAUGAACAGCAUGGAACCUGGAGGAAGAUUGCCAGUUGCCUCGGGGUUUGGCAUUUGGACACUCGCUCGCAUCACAGAGGCCUCUUCCGUCUCUCGUACUAUGAAACAGAACUUUUUAUUAUAGGUUACCCCUUCAGUGACUAUAGUUACCUGAAGCCAUGGUGGAUACAUGUCAUGCAGGAAGCGGACGAGAAAGAAGAAAACCUAAUUAUGA